CUUUCCCUCUUCUCCCCGGAACCAACCAUUGCUCUCCCUGCACUCUCUUCCCCAGUUUCCUCCCGACAAUCGCCAAGCAACGACGUACACCUCCCCGCAACCAUUCACCGCUUUCAUUUUCAGGCCACUCAGAUUGAAACUGAAGGAUCUGGGGUCCACGAUGGUGCUUACCGAUUAAUAAAGAAUUAUAUCUCCUCUUUGAGGAUUACAAAAUAUAGCGGUAUGAUUGUUGUAUCUAUUUUUCAUAUUCAGUGUUAUGUUUAGUUCAUUCAGAUCUUCAUGAUAGCAAGGCCGGUGCGGUUCUUGAAUAUUUAUCCUCUAUGGUGGCUUCUGUUGAAUCUGUUUCAACAACAAUGGAUGGAUUGCAAUGUAAUAUUAAAGAUUACUGCAGAGGGAGGCUUCUAGUUCGGAUGUAGCUUAGAACUGGAAGAGUUAGAGUACUGAAUGAAGAUUUCUAUAUUUAACAAUCAGACAUCAAGUUUAUGGAUACUGUUGUUGACAAUGGUGGGAUUGCAACUACUCAAAGUCUAGUUCCCAAGGUACAAUUUAAUUUGCAACUCUCAGAAAAAGAGAGGAUGGAAAGGGCAAAAGUGGUACUUCCAUUUGAACAUCAAGGAUGUUCUCUCAAGGUUAAUGCAUGAAAUGGAAAAAACAGUUAGAGGGUCGAUUGAGUAACAAAGUUGAGAUAUCGUAUAUGCAUAGAGAAACAAAUGCAUUAAAGGAGAAGCUUGAUUUUAACUUUUUAGUACAUGGAUGAUGGAUAAAUGUGGAUUAUGAGAUUAUAUUAUGUUUAUAUAGUUAUUGACAUUGAUCAUGUUAAUUGUAAUAACAGUAACUAGUAUUGAAGUUCAAUGUCUCCUAUAUGGUUCU